CUUUGGAUGUAGCUUUAGCACUACAUGCUGUCAAUUUUGUGGAAUUCAAUUGGCCGAAUUGAUGCAUGUUGCAUUUGCUUGCAAUAGAUCGCUCUCUGGUUGAUUAACUAAAUACAUGUGUGCUUGAGUUAGGACACGGCUAACUAUCACCCUUGAAAUUGCACUGUUGCUUGAGCACACCAAAGUUCAACCUUUCUUGAGGUCUCUUCUAGAGCUACUUGUUGGCCAAUUUACCCCUGUGAUUCCUUAAUGUGUCUAUAUGCUUCCAGUUGACCUACACUUGGGUGGCCCAGGAAGACAGGACAACACUGAAUGGCCUACAUUUGAUCUAUUGAAUGAGAAUGUCUCUACUGUUAGUUGCUCAUCUCAUAGUUUUUAUGGAAGAGGGUGUUCUUAAAAAUUUAAGUUUCACUUUCAGAGCUAAAGUAGAGGAACCAUCUACUGGAGAGGUGCCCUCCCCACCUUCUCAUACUGCUGUUGGAGGACCAACUUCACUUCUUCCUAAGCGCAAACCCCUGACUGAAUAAGAGAUUGAGUCUAUUAUGGUAUGCACUUUGUUCACAGAUGCUUACCGUCUAUUAUUUGUGUGCUUACCGUCUUUGGUGACUUGCACUCAACAAGUAAUUUGUCCAGUUUUGAUCCGAAAUAUUAAUUAUAUACAUGAAACUUGCAGGAUGAUUAUAUGAUUGUUAUUUAGCACGAACACAUUUUUUGUAUAGAAGUUACAAGCCUAAAUAUAAUGAGGAAAUGCAUGCUAAAUAGCCUUGCAAAACUUUAGUUUGUACCAUAAUGGGUUAAAAUCUGUCACCCAAGAAAUAGAAGGGGAGAUCACUUCAAACAGUUAUGUCCAGGACCUUCUAUACACAAAGUGCUGAAAUUGUGAGAUGACACCACAAGCAUUCUUCCCUGCUACCAUCUGAAUAGUGGUAAUCUAGAUCUGUCUUCACAUAUUUUUUUUUGAAAGAGGAACAGUAGGGGACUAAAAUCACAUUGUUGUAUUGAUGUUCCAACGAACUCAAUAAUUAACUGACUAUUACCUUGCCUUGAUCUACCAUCCGACAUCCGCCCUAUGGUGCCUGGACUACGUGUCCAAGAUCAUAUGAUUAACUUAAAACAAUGACUAUUAGGUUCAGUGUUGACUAUUAGGUGAUGGCUGACAUUAGGUCCAUGGUUAAAACCUGCUUUUGUGAAAGAAUUUGCUCUGAAUGAGGACCUUUGAACCUUUUUAUAAUGAAUUAGAGUCCUGUAACUUGGCCUUGGUGGCAUUUGCAGUUUGGAUAUGCUUUGCAACUGCUUUCUUAUCUGUUGACAUUAUCUCAAUGCAUUUUCGGUAUAAUAAAUAGUUGUAUUGCACUCCAAAGAUUGAUUUAAAUCAAUGCAUUUUCAGUACGAGAAACCAGCAGUAUUGCAGUCCGAAGAUCUAUUUACUGACCAGUCUUUUGUUUAUAGUUUUUCAUUAAAUCUUGUGCAGUCAUUGUAGUCCAUUGGAAUUAAUUCCUCUUGCCGAAUUGAUGCAUGUUGCAUUUGCUUGCAAUAGAUCGCUCUCUGGUUGAUUAACUAAAGACAUGGUUGGGUAAACUUUAUCAAUCUCAAAUGGAGGUGUGCUUGUGUUAGGACACGGCUAAAUUUUCUGAAGGGCAUGCCUUUGAGCAAUCGAGGCAACUGUGGGUUUCAAAUUUGACAUGAUCCUUCUAUCUUGGAGCCUAUGCAAAAGCAAAUCUAAGCCUAAUAGGGAUGCAAUGUUACAAGAGUCCUUGUCAUAGCAAUUUGUGCUUUGAAAAAAAGAAGUGCUCAUUACCUUAGUUCAUGGGAUUUUAGCGGUUCCAACUAUAACUAUAGAAGAUACCAAUGGUUUAGAUUCUCCAUCACAGUCAUGUGUCAUUAACAACGAAAAUACCUCUCUAACCCCUCAAACUACCAGCGUUCAGGCGCCAACAACACGUCCACCAGUUAGUGAUGAUGGUGAUGACGAUGGUGUCGUAUUCGAUGAGGACUCUGAAGAGGGGGAGGGCUACAUGUUCGCUGGUCAAGG